AGUGAAUCUAGGACGUCCAACUUAACUUGGAGUCCGAACUCUCACUUUCUAACCCUGUGCAUCUGUUAAUUGGAAUAGUAGCUCUUCGGAGUGAACCACCAUUCACUUAUAAAACACAAAGUCUAUGAAUGUAUACAAAUUUAUAACAAAACAAAACUUUCAACAACGGAUCUCUUGGCUCUCGCAUCGAUGAAGAACGCAGCGAAAUGCGAUACGUAAUGUGAAUUGCAGAAUUCAGUGAAUCAUCGAAUCUUUGAACGCACCUUGCGCUCCUUGGUAUUCCGAGGAGCAUGCCUGUUUGAGUGUCAUGAAAUCUUCAACCCACCUCUUUCUUAGUGAAUCUGGUGGUGCUUGGUUUCUGAGCGCUGCUCUGCUUCGGCUUAGCUCGUUCGUAAUGCAUUAGCAUCCGCAACCGAACUUCGGAUUGACUUGGCGUAAUAGACUAUUCGCUGAGGAUUCUAGUUUACUAGAGCCGAGUUGGGUUAAAGGAAGCUCCUAAUCCUAAAGUCUAUUUUUUGAUUAGAUCUCAAAUCAGGUAGGACUACCCGCUGAACUUAAGCAUAUCAAUAAGCGGAGGAAAAGAAACUAACAAGGAUUCCCCUAGUAGCGGCGAGCGAAGCGGGAAGAGCUCAAAUUUAUAAUCUGGCACCUUCGGUGUCCGAGUUGUAAUCUCUAGAAGUGUUUUCCGCGUUGGACCGCACACAAGUCUGUUGGAAUACAGCGGCAUAGUGGUGAAACCCCCGUAUAUGGUGCGGACGCCCAGCGCUUUGUGAUACACUUUCAAUGAGUCGAGUUGUUUGGGAAUGCAGCUCAAAUUGGGUGGUAAAUUCCAUCUAAAGCUAAAUAUUGGCGAGAGACCGAUAGCGAACAAGUACCGUGAGGGAAAGAUGAAAAGCACUUUGGAAAGAGAGUUAACAGUACGUGAAAUUGUUGGAAGGGAAACGCUUGAAGUCAGACUUGCUUGCCGGAGCUUGCUUCGGUUUGCAGGCCAGCAUCAGUUUUCCGGGGUGGAUAAUGACGGUUUGAAGGUAGCAGUCUCGGCUGUGUUAUAGCUUUCCGUUGGAUACAUCCUGGGGGACUGAGGAACGCAGCGUGCUUUUUGCGAAAGACUCGUCUUUUUCACGCUUAGGAUGCUGGGGAAGGCUUUAA
rnacentral:rRNA from 1 species